GCAWCUUUCAGCAGUGGAUGUCUAGGCUCGCACAUCGAUGAAGAACGCUGCGAACUGCGAUACGUAAUGCGAAUUGCMGGAUUCAGUGAGUCAUCGAAAUUUUGAACGCAUAUYGCMCUUCCSGGUUAGUCCUGGAAGUAUGCCUGUAUCAGUGUCCGUA
rnacentral:rRNA from 1 species